AACGAACGCUGGCGGCAUGCCUAACACAUGCAAGUCGAACGAGACCUUCGGGUCUAGUGGCGCACGGGUGCGUAACGCGUGGGAACCUGCCCUUAGGUUCGGAAUAACUCCCCGAAAGGGGUGCUAAUACCGGAUAAUGUCUUCGGACCAAAGAUUUAUCGCCUUUGGAUGGGCCCGCGUUGGAUUAGCUAGUUGGUAGGGUAAAAGCCUACCAAGGCGACGAUCCAUAGCUGGUCUGAGAGGAUGAUCCGCCACACUGGGACUGAGACACGGCCCAGACUCCUACGGGAGGCAGGAGUAGGGAAUAUUGGACAAUGGGCGAAAGUCUGAUCCAGCAAUGCCGCGUGAAUGAUGAAGGCCUUAGGGUUGUAAAGCUCUUUUACCCGGGAUGAUAAUGACAGUACCGGGAGAAUAAGCUCCGGCUAACUCCGUG
rnacentral:rRNA from 1 species